UACGAAGGGGGCUAGCGUUGCUCGGAAUUACUGGGCGUAAAGCGCACGUAGGCGGCUUCUUAAGUCGGUGGUGAAAUCCUGGAGCUCAACUCCAGAACUGCCUUCGAUACUGAGAAGCUCGAGUCCGGGAGAGGUGAGUGGAACUGCGAGUGUAGAGGUGAAAUUCGUAGAUAUUCGCAAGAACACCAGUGGCGAAGGCGGCUCACUGGUCCGGUACUGACGCUGAGGUGCGAAAGCGUGGGGAGCAAACAGG
rnacentral:rRNA from 1 species